CACGUAGUUCGCCGGGGCUUCUUAGUCAGGUACCGUCAUUAUCUUCCCUGCUGAUAGAGCUUUACAUACCGAAAUACUUCUUCGCUCACGCGGCGUCGCUGCAUCAGGGUUUCCCCCAUUGUGCAAUAUUCCCCACUGCUGCCUCCCGUAGGAGUUUGGGCCGUGUCUCAGUCCCAAUGUGGCCGAUCGCCCUCUCAGGCCGGCUACUGAUCGUCGGUUUGGUGGGCCGUUACCCCGCCAACUGCCUAAUCAGACGCGGGCCCAUCCCAUACCACCGGAGUUUUUCACACCGAGCCAUGCAGCUCUGUGCGCUUAUGCGGUAUUAGCAGCCGUUUCCAGCUGUUAUCCCCCGGUAUGGGGCAGGUCACCCACGCGUUACUCACCCGUCCGCCGCUCAGUCAGUUAAGAAUCAUCCGAAGAAUCUUCUUAACUGCUUCGCUCGACUUGCAUGUGUUAAGCACGCCGCCAGCGUUCAUCCUGACGCCAGGAUACAAACUUCC
rnacentral:rRNA from 1 species